GCUGGCGGAGAUGGUGGCGGCAUCGUGAACAUCAUUUCACGUUUACGAUCCAUCAACACGAGCCAUCAAAUUGUAUACAAACAAACGCAACAAAGAUCAAAAGCCAUAUUCAUUUAAAUAAAAUCUGGAACCGGGUCCCGCCAUUUGAGAGUUGCCUUUCAACAGCCACCGCUACCGUAGGAGAGACACUCUCCGCUCAGGCAAUGCAAAUGGAAAUGGGAGUGGGAAUGAAAAUGAAAAUGGAAAUGCCUCUUCAGCUUCAAUCUUAAUACGUAUUCCACUCCGCUCCCGUGCUCGGCUAAUUACUUAUGUGUCGGCGACUCCGCGGCCCAAGUGUAAUGCAUUUUUCAUGUGCCCCUCUGUGAGGAUUGUCUUAAUCCCUUACGUACGUCGAGUGCGCACAAAAUGUCUCUUAUUUGUGUGUGAAGUGGAUGUUGAUUUAGUUAAGAAGGCUGGGUGCCAAAAGGAAGCGCAGUUUGUAUAUGUAUGUGUACUUAAGAGUUGAGAAGUAUUCGUGUGGACUGAGAGGAGCGUAAGACAUUUGGAAGGAUGUGCGAAUAAAGUUGGGCAAUUAUAA